UAAGCAUAUCAUGUAUCCCCAGGAUUAAUCCCAGCAUGCUCCAGGACUUCAAUGGUCAGCCGGCGUCCUCGUCUGCAGUAGCUCUGGGAAACCUCCUGCUCAACACCAAUGCGUUUCAACACGAUAUCCCCGUGUCUUUUUCAAGGAAAUGCCUCCAAAAUAAUUUCAAGGUCCUCUUCACUCCAGUGUACCUGAACCUGUGCCUGCUGGCGUUGCUGUGUUGAUCCUGUGAAUAUGUUGGAGAUAGGAGAAACUCACCAGCAGCUUCUACAUCCCGACAAACACGUUGGAGCCUCUGUGUAGCAGGACCCCUUCUCUGAUGUGGUGCUAUAAAGACAUAGGAGGAAACAGAAUAAAUGCAUGCCAUUAUCCACACUUAGGGUCGGACUGGCCCACAGGGGUACCAGGGAAACCACCGGUAGGCCCCACUCCUUCCUCUAGGGAUCAGGUUCCAGACUGUGCACUUGUAUUAAACAUGGUAGAUAUGUUGCAUUACACUGCACUAAACUAUUGUGUAUUUCAAGCCUCUAUGGAGGCUGGCCACACACCCUUUGUAGGCUGACCACACCCCUAGGUAUGGGCCCCUAUCACUGCAUUUCCUCCGGUGGGCCCUUCAUGCCCCAGUCCGACACUGUUCACACUUAUUUGCAGUCUGCAGAUUCAGAUGUGAAAAUGUUUAAUUAAAAAUGUUCAACAUGUUUACAAUCUUGAAAAAAACAUUUAUGGACAAUCUUAUCUGUAAUGUAUUUUGGCCAAAAACAUAUAUGUUUUUUUGUGCCAAACAUGAUUAAUGUAGCUUAUUAGGUCAUGUCUAAGAAAAAAAAUGACUACAUUAUAA